GGCGAGGAAAGCUCUGGCUGCCUGGGGUCAGGUGGCAGCCCCGGGAGAUGGAGACCCAGUCACACACAGGUGCUUACGGUGGGCACAGCGACUCGGUGCCAUCGUCUGAGUCACACACAGGUGUUUACUGUGGGCACAGUGACUCGGUGCCAUCGUCUGAGACCCAGUCACACACGUGUUUAUGGUGGGCACAGCGACUCAGUGCCAUCGUCUGAGAUCCAGUCACACACAGGUGCUUACGGUGGGCACAGCGACUCAGUGCCAUCGUCUGAGUCACACACAUGUGCUUACGAUGGGCACAGCGACUCGGUGCCAUCGUCUGAGACCCAGUCACAGAUAGGUGUUUACCGUGGGCACAGCGACUCGGUGCCAUCGUCUGAGACCCAGUCACAGAUAGGUGUUUACCGUGGGCACAGCAACUCGGUGCCAUCGUCUGAGAUCCAGUCACACACACGUGUUUACCAUGGGCACAGCAACUCCGUGCCAUCGUCUGAGUCACACACACGUGUUUAUGGUGGGCACAGCGACUCAGUGCCAUCGUCUGAGAUCCAGUCACACACAGGUGCUUACCAUGGGCACAGCGACUCCGUGUCAUCGUCUGAGUCACACACACGUGUUUACGGUGGGCACAGCGACUCCGUGCCAUCGUCUGAGUCACACACACGUGUUUACGGUGGGCACCGCGACUCCGUGCCAUCGUCUGAGUCACACACGUGUUGACGGUGGGCACAGUGACUCCGUGCCAUCGUCUGAGUCACACACGUGUUGACGGUGGGCACCGCGACUCUGUGCCAUCGUCUGAGUCACACACGUGUUUACAGUGGGCACAGCGACUCCGUGCCAUCGUCUGAGUCACACACGUGUUCACGGUGGGCACAGCAACUCGGUGCCAUCAUCUGACAUUGGAUUGUGCAUCCACUUGUCCCACCUGCUGGUCACCCACCUCCAGAGAUGAAUUGAUAAAAGUGCUGCCUCCUUUGAGCUGGGCUGCAGGUGCCAAGCUGGAGAGCAUUUGCCCUCUCCCACUGCUGCUGAAACAGAU
rnacentral:lncRNA from 1 species